rnacentral:rRNA from 1 species
ACGCCGCGUGAGUGAGGAAGGCCUUCGGGUUGUAAAGCUCUGUCAGGAGUUAAGAAAUGUAAGUGUGCUAAUACCACAUUUAUUUGACGAAGGCUCCAAAGGAAGCCACGGCUAACUCUGUGCCAGCAGCCGCGGUAAUACAGAGGUGGCAAGCGUUGUUCGGAAUUAUUGGGCGUAAAGAGCACGUAGGUGGGUUUGUAAGUCAGAUGUGAAAGCCUUCUGUUCAACGGAAGAAUUGCAUCUGAAACUGCGAGUCUUGAGUGUAGGAGGGGAGAAUGGAACUUCUGGUGGAGCGGUGAAAUGCGUAGAUAUCAGAAGGAACGCCGGCGGCGAAAGCGAUUCUCUGGCCUAUUACUGACGCUCAGUGUGCGAAAGCUAGGGGAGCAAACGGGAUUAGAUACCCCGGUAGUCCUAGCCGUAAACGAUGGGCACUAAGUAGAGGGAAUUACCGAUGUUCUCUCUGCCGUAGCUAACGCAUUAAGUGCCCCGCCUGGGGAGUACGGCCGCAAGGCUAAAACUCAAAAGAAUUGACGGGGGCUCGCACAAGCGGUGGAGCAUGUGGCUUAAUUCGAUGCAACGCGAAGAACCUUACCGGGGCUUGACAUGGUAGAAGUAGGAACCCGAAAGGGUAACGAACGGUAUCCAGUCCGUAACUAUCACAGGUGUUGCAUGGCUGUCGUCAGCUCGUGUCGUGAGACGUUGGGUUAAGUCCCCUAACGAGCGAAACCCUUGUUUUUAGUUACCAGCGGGUUGUGCCGGGUACUCUAGAAAGACUGCCGUCGUCAAGACGGAGGAAGGUGGGGAUGACGUCAAGUCAUCAUGGCCCUUAUGCCCCGGGCUGCACACGUGCUACAAUGGU